GAUGAACGCUGGCGGCGUGCCUAACACAUGCAAGUCGAACGAAGCACCUUACCUGAUUCUUCGGAUGAAAGUUUGGUGACUGAGUGGCGGACGGGUGAGUAACGCGUGGGUAACCUGCCCUGUACAGGGGGAUAACAGCUGGAACCGGCUGCUAAUACCGCAUAAGCGCACGUGGAGACAUCUCCUUGUGUGAAAAACUGCGUUGGUACAGUACGGGCCCGCGUCUGAUUAGCUGGUUGGCAGGGUAACGGCCUACCAAGGCAGAGAUCAGUAGCCGGGAUUGGAGGACGAACCGGCACACUGGAAGUGGGACACGGUGCGAACUCUUAGGAGAGGCAGCAGUGGGGAAUGAUGCACACCGGGGGAGUCAAGGAUGCAGCCAGGUCGCGAAGGUGAGGAAGUAUUGCGGUAUGUAAGGCUCUAUCAACAGGGCAGAUAGUGACGGUACCUGACUAAGAAGCGCCGGCUAACUACGUG
rnacentral:rRNA from 1 species